rnacentral:rRNA from 1 species
GACGAACGCUGGCGGCGUGCUUAACACAUGCAAGUCGAACGGGUCUGCCCUGUUUUUUGCGGGGUGGGUCAGUGGCGAACGGGUGAGUAACACGUGAGUAACCUGCCCCUCACUUCUGGAUAACCGCUUGAAAGGGUGGCUAAUACGGGGUGUUCUGGCUGUGCCGCAUGGUGUGGCUGGGAAAGAUUCACUUUUGUGGUGUUUUGGUGGGGGAUGGGCUCGCGGCCUAUCAGCUUGUUGGUGGGGUGAUGGCCUGCCAAGGCUUUGACGGGUAGCCGGCCUGAGAGGGUGGGCGGUCACACUGGGACUGAGAUACGGCCCAGACUCCUGCGGGAGGCAGCAGUGGGGGGUAUUGCACAAUGGGCGGAAGCCUGAUGCAGCGACGUCGCGUGAGGGAUGGAGGCCUUCGGGUUGUGAGCCUCUUUCGCCGGUGAAGAAGGUCCUGCUCUUUGUGGUGGGGUUGACGGUAGCCGGGUUAUGAAGCGCCGGCUAACUACGUG